rnacentral:snRNA from 1 species
CUAAUUAUCUAUCAGGGGAGACUCACGAUCACAAAGCUUUUUUCCCAGAAAAAGACUUAUCCAUCACCUUUCCAAUAUGCUGGCCUCUGCAAUUCCUCAAAUGGAAGCAACUUGACCACAUAAGUUGUGGUAGUGGAGAACUGAAUUCACAAUCCCCUC